UGGGCAAACACCUGUGAAACCAUCAUUGCAAUUGACUAAUAGACAUAUCCAUCACUUUCAAAAGUUUGCUUGUGCUUUUCUGGUUUUGUUUUGCAGUAAAAAGGUUGAACAUGAGUUCCCCUCAUCUGAGAAGUUUUAAGUGUACAACACAAGACUGUCAACUAAAGGCACAGUGUUAAUACAGCAGCACCACGUGUCCAUGGACAGACAAAUGGAUAAAGAAAAUGUGGUUCGUAUAUACAGUGGAGUAUUAUUCAACCUUUACAAAGGAGGAAAUCCUGCCUUUCGUGAAAGAUGAUGGUAUUCUUGCCACCAUUUCCAAAGAUUAUGAUUCAGCUCUGCUGUGAGAGGAGGAAGGUAAACCCAGAAAAGGAGCGGACAGAACGAGAAAGGGAGAAGAAGGGAAAGAACAGGACCCAUAAGCAACUUCCCGGCGCAGUCUCCUCAGACCUUUAAACAAGCACAAGACACAGAGGGAAACUGCUAUUUGGCAUGUGGUUGAACCUCCGUCAUCCUAGAAUGGAAUCAAUUUUUCAAUACUGGAAUGGAUGAAAGGCUGACAUAUAUACACUGCUGGGAGAUCAGCAUGAAAACUAUGCAACCCUCAUUUUUGCUCCCCCAGAUUCAGUCUGCCUCAUCUGGACUAGCAUCCAAGGGUUUCAACCUUUUGUUUGCUUUCUUUAUCUUCUUGAGCUUCUCUCCAUGUUCACCAUCAGCAUGACACUCAGGGCCACAUCCUCCCUGGACUAAACAAGUGGAGAGUGCUAAGUUCUUGGACCAAUCCUCUGGCUCUGGGACACCUGCAGUGCAGUUGAUGAGUCAAACUAAUUACUGAAGACAACAAGGAAGAUUUCAACAAGAAAUUUCAGAGAACAAAGAGCACCAAACAUUUUCCUACAUCUUCUAGCUAGAAAACCAUAGGGCUGCUUAUAAAAUACCCUAGUCUCACAAAAACCACGUUACCUUUCUUUUCAUCUACAAAUUUACAAAAUGUUUUAGGCCAAAAGUUUGUUUUCUGAUCAUAAAUGGCACUUUCGAACACACCAUUAAUUGGGAUAUCUUGAAUUCCCAGUGAGCUAUAAAUGGCAAUUCUAGGCUAGUAUUGGGGAUUAUCUCCUAAGGAUAAUGAAAAUAAAUUUUCCUUUGAUAUUUUGUAUCAGGCUUUAGGAUACUAACUGGG